CCUACGGGUGGCAGCAGUGAGGAAUAUUGGUCAAUGGGCGCUAGCCUGAACCAGCCAAGUAGCGUGAAGGAUGACUGCCCUAUGGGUUGUAAACUUCUUUUAUAUGGGAAUAAAGUGCAGUAUGUAUACUGCUUUGCAUGUACCUUAUGAAUAAGGAUCGGCUAACUCCGUACCAGCAGCCGCGGUAAUACGGAGGAUCCGAGUGUUAUCCGGAUUUAUUGGGUUUAAAGGGAGCGUAGGCGGGUUGUUAAGUCCGUUGUGAAAGUUUGGGGCUCAACCGUAGAAUUGCAGUUGAUACUGGCAUCCUUGAGUACAGUAGAGGUAGGCAGAAUUCGAGGUGUAGCGGUGAAAUGCUUAGAGAUCACGAGGAACUCCGAUGGCGAAGGCGGCCUGCUGGACUAUAACUGACGCUGAUGCUCGAAAGUGUGGUGAUCAAACAGGAUUAGAUACCCGAGUAGUC
rnacentral:rRNA from 1 species